rnacentral:rRNA from 1 species
AUUGAACGCUGGCGGCAGGCCUAACACAUGCAAGUCGAACGGUAACAGGAAGACGCUUGCUUCUUUGCUGACGAGUGGCGGACGGGUGAGUAAUGUCUGGGAAACUGCCUGAUGGAGGGGGAUAACUACUGGAAACGGUAGCUAAUACCGCAUAACGUCGCAAGACCAAAAGGGGGAACUUUCGGGCCUCUUCCAUUCGAUUGUUCCCAGAUGGAAUUACAUAGUAGGUGGGGUAACGGCUCACCUAGGCGAGGAUCCCUAGCUGGUAUAGGGGGUUGACCAGCCACACUGGAACUGAGACACGGUCCAGACUCCUACGGGAGGCAGCAGUGGGGAAUAUUGCACAAUGGGCGCAAGCCUGAUGCAGCCAUGCCGCGUGUAUGAAGAAGGCCUUCGGGUUGUAAAGUACUUUCAGCGGGGAGGAAGGGAGUAAAGUUAAUACCCUUGCUCAUUGACGUUACCCGCAGAAGAAGCACCGGCUAACUCCGUG